AAUACAAAAGAGACUUUGAAGAAAGCAAAGGAAGAGGGUUCAGUAUUGUGACCGAUACGCCCGAGUUACAAAGACUGAAAAGGACUCAGGAACAAAUCAGUAAUGUAUGUGACUGCAACCUAAAGUGAUUGUAGGUGGAGAAGUAGUGUGUCUAAGAAAAGGUGUGUUUGUUGGUGUUUUCAAUGAAGUUUGUGCGAGUGAACAGUCUGAUUUUGGUGAUUGAUUUGUGUAUGUCAGAUUUUGAAAUACCACGGACUUGUACAGCACAUUGGCAAUGUGUGUUCACCUCUCCAACUUUCAAUCAGUAUGCUCAAAGUAUUUUCUUUAUAAAAAUGAUUUGACACUUUUUGAUCUUCUAAUAAUUUGUCAUCAAGUAAGAAUACUUUUGGAACUUUUAAUUUACUUUUUAUUUAUAUAAAGUAUAUAGAUUAUGUAAGUUAAAAAGUUUUGCCUCUUUUUUAGCAGGAGCUCUCAAAGUUAGCAAAACAAGCAAGAGGGAAUUUUCUAGCAGGUAAAAUGUUGUUGCUGAGUUUUAAAAGAAAAGACAUGCACGACAAUGCUCUACAAGAUGACAAAGAAAUGGCAAAUAGCAAAACCUAACAUAUUUCAUUAGCUUACAGGAAUGGGACUUUUAAAAAUGGGACUUUUCCUGUCUUAUGUCUUCGCUAAGAAAGUUAUUUAUUUGUACUGCAUUCUCUUGUAGCAUGUUUAACUCACUGCAUGAUGGAAUAUUGGUGACACAUAGUGCAAAUUCUGAUACGUAUGAAAUAGGUAAGAAUUAGUCUGAACUAGAAAAGAUGCAGAAUCAAUACUAUUCACUUGUCUUGGCUUCCCUUCUGAUCAUUCUUCUGCUGCAUGAUUUUGUCCCUAUAGAUUAUUUUGAGAAAAUAUUCUUGAAUCAUUGUCUGUAGUAAUAAAAUAACAGCAAGGCAUCAGAGACACACAGUGUAAGUAUGAUCAGAUGAAAAUAUUGGGAUUUAUUUACUUGAAAUAAAAAACCUUUUUUUCAGAUUAGGAUAUUAUUGAAGAAAAAAGUCAUUGGAAAACACUUAUUUUUCACAGCAGUGGAGGUUUACUGUUCUUGCCAAAGCAUUCACUAGUUUUUGAUGUCUAGAGCCAGUCUUUGAGAUGAAAAAUUUAGGCUCAUUUCCUGGAGCCAAUGGAGACGACAGUUAAUGUAAGAGCCGUACAACUGCUCCUGUAUGUAAACAAGAUGAGAACAAAAAGCUCAUCUCAUGUUCAUACUGGGGCUAACUGAAAUUACUGGCUUGUAAGAGAGAAAAAUGUAUUCUUUGGAGUGGCAAAAAACAUGGCCAUUAGGACUUCCAUUUGGGAUCUGGGAAACUUCAGCGACUCCCUGGUUUUAAUCUGCAUUUAAGCUGCAUUUUUUAUUCAGACCAGGAAGUUAAAUUAGGUCCUCUCACGACCUACAGAACUUCCUCAAGCAAGAGUGAUUCCUUUCUGUUGGGUAGCUCUGGAAGGCAUCAAGGAGAUGAAACGAGUGAGGCUCUGGUGAAUACUUAAUCCCUCGCAUGGGUCUGCUCUCUAAGGAUGGACCGAGAGCAGUGCCCUGCUGCAGGCCUGUGGUGCUCAGUUUGGGAUGUUGGCCUGCCAAGAAAAAUUUUCAGACCUCCUAAGUACCCUCAACAUCAGACUACAGAAUAGUAGGACACAGCUCACUUGCUUGCUCUUAUCUCUUGUUCAAAGCACAUUGUGUUUUCUGUUGUGGGAAAAGGAGAUAAUAAAAACAAGUGGUUUUGUGACAUGGGAAAGGGCUUUCUUCCCAUCUCUACUUUUGAGUGGAUCAAUGGAGUUUCUGUCCUAAUGGAAGAUCUUGUUCCAUGAUUUAUGAUGCUAUCUGGUUCCUGAACCAAAGAUAAGUACCUGCCUUUUCAGGUCCAGAAAUUGCUUUUUAAAAUGGGAAGAGUGGCUUUAUUUCAGGAUUUUUCCCUUGGUCAUUGCAUGUGUGACUACUUUCUCUUCAUUUAUAAACAUGCUAUUCUUAACAAUAUAGAUUUGAUCUCUCCAGUCUUGGCAAUAGAGAGUUGUUUUCUUAAUGUAUGUAGGUGACAGAGAUUCCAAGUCAGGGACCCAAUUAGAAAUAAUUAGUCUUGAAGGGUAAAAUGGAAUUUUUAAAUGUGCAUGAUAAAAGAAGUUGCGUUUAAUUUCUGUUUACAUUGAAAUAAUAAUUUAUAGCAUUAUAUCCUAGAGAGAUACUUCUGCAUAGGCCACAACAUCAAUUUAAUUAGAAAGCUCCUGUAUUAUAGAAAGGCCUUCCACACAGAGUAGUUUCUGUAUUUGUCAGAUAAGCAGUAUACAUCAUGGACUAAGGAUCUAAUUAAGAUUUCAAGACACUGAAAGGUAAGCACUUUAAUAAUACUAAAAUAAUUUUAAUUUUCAUAUACAGAGAAAUGGAAGAAUACUAAUAUAUCUAUUUAAUUUUCAGUUUAGUUUUGAUUUCACCUUGAAGUACUAGAAACUUCUCAAAGAGCCUAUUUGAACCAAAAUUGUAACUACUUCAUUGAAGGGGUAAGUAAGUGAUGAAAAUAAAUAACAAUAAUAUACUAAUAAAUGCUAAGUAGCAUAAAUAUUUUGAAAAUAAUUGUCUUUUUUGACCUGAUACAAAGUUUGGCAGCAUAUGGAUAUUAGCGCAGUACUCUGACUUUUUGAAGAAUCUCUUGUGCUAUGAAUAUAAACCUUGUGAGGAAAAAACAUGGUGGGGAGUGGAAGGAGAGUGGGUAGAUAAAGGGAUUGAGUUUUGGUUGUUGUUUUGCCACCAGCUAUCCUUCCUCUGAAGAUUUAGACCAAACCUGUGGGCUUUAUUUUAUGGUUCUUAUGGAGGUAUCAGGACCAGAGUGGAGCUUCUUAGACAAGGAUGAAAUUUAAUCUCAUGAUUUUUUAGCAUUAAGAGCCUAAUUCUGCAGAUAUACAACAUAUUUUGACAUUAAAUAUGUAGUCAAUACACAAAAAAAUGUAUGUUGUUCUCACAGAGAAAUGCGUACACUUUGCCAAAGGACCUUGUAGUGUUUUUUGUCCAUAUUGAACUUUGAGGUUUUCAGAAUGAAUGCAAAUAUUCUCAAAGUGAAAAAAGCCCCAACCCUAUGUAUUUUUAUAGAUUAUUUUGCAAUUAAGCUAGCUGCAAACUGGUUUUGCAAGGAAGAGGUUAAGGUGGCAAAAGGAAUAGAAUAAAUAAAGAUGAUGGCAAAAAAUGUUGGUCUAUCAUGACACAGGGAUAAAUGAGGGAGUAGAAACUCAAUCUAGUACUAUUUUCUUUGGGGAAAUGGAACACUUUCAGCAGUCUGCAGCAAUGUGCUGCAGCUUACGGCCACUGCACUUCUAUGCCUCGAUAUAUGACUUGAAGCGUGUUUUAUCCUAUGUGAAAUAAGCUGCUCUUUCUUAAAUAUGCUUCUGGUAAAUGUCUGCAAAGUAUUAAAGAAAACAGGUGUCCAUACAUAUUGAUGGAGUGAGAAGCUUUCAUUAAGAUAAAGGCCAGUGCUUGGAUAGUAGAGGUUGCUGUCUUGGUCGUAUGGCUGGAAGGAUGCAUGGAAGUUUUCACAGUGCUUGUGCUCAUUGCAUUAAGAACCCAUGUAAAAGCAUUCCUCGCUUUGGCAUUAAUGCUGUUAUGAACUUGAAUCACAUAAGAGCAAGAAGAACCACAAAUUUGUGCCCUUCUUCUCUUGGAGAGACAACAAAAGGAAGUCAUGUUGUUAAUUUAUUUGCAUGUGACUCAUCUUCCAGUAGGUUUGGGUUGUAUCUGAAGUGAAAAUGGUACCUUAAUGCAAAAAAGGAAAAUAAAUAAACAGAUUAAAUCUGCUUUAGAAAACACAUUUCCAAGGCAUCCUAUUUUGGUGACGAACUUAGGAAGGACAGUAGAGUUAAUGAAGAGAAGGUCACUCAGUCACCCCUCUAUGGGGUAAGGGAGCAGCUUCCCAAGUAUCAGGAGUUGAACUCCUUAACUGAAGUUAGUGAAGUGUUUCUUGGAUGCAGAGUGCAUGAAGAUCUUGUAGCAUUCUUGAAAGUGUUGUAUGUGGGUUCUAAUGAGAAAAGCUGUGCAUUCAUUUUCUUUAAAUGUCUUUAAUGAAAUAUGGUGCAUGGUGUGGGGCUUUUAAUUAUCAAGGGUUGCAUUCUAUCUCCAGUUAAAUGUAUACAGCUUCAGGGAAUGCAGAGGAGGACAGGAAUUCCCCCAUAAUUUGAAUCAACUGAAUACCUACUAUUUGGACAAAGACACAAAUUACAAGGAAAGUGGGCACUACUAAAAAUACAUCUUCAGUAGCAAGUAAAGGACGACACAGACCACAUUGCUACUGUAGCUGUGCACAUCUGCACAUCUGAAAUUAGAAACUGUCCCUAACAGACACUGAGCCAUGGCUCUCUAUUUGGAAGCUAUUGGCAGAGCUGUUCAGUCUGUUUACUUGCUCAAACAUAAAAUGAUCUCUUAAAUUGCCAAAACAGAUUGUAGAGAAAAUUGGCAGGAGAAGAUGUUAACAACAUGGCCCAGAGCUCCACUUGUAGGAUUCACAGCACAAAGCCUGCAGAUACUUGUCCAUAAGUGCUUUUUUCCCUCCAUUGAAUUCAAGUAAAGGAGUAGAAUAGGGAACAAGAAAAAUUAACAGCAGUAUCAAUGUCUGCAUUUCACAAAACCAACGCCGGCACAUCAACGGAGAGACUGGGUAAGUGUUUUAAAUUGUAUGCAAAAAGAACUUACGCUCUUCUAUGCAGUGCUGGGGUUUUACUGCUUCUGAAGUAAUUAAUACUUUAUUCCUAAACCCUUAUAUUCCUAAGAAUUAUUUUUAUCUUGCUGUUGUUUAAUGGGGAAAAUAUGUCAUACAUAAACUUAUUUAUGUAUGACAAUUGUGUUGACUAACAUGGAUGGAAUAGCAUUUGUUGAGCAGUGCCCUGGUGCUGCAUGUCUGUGACAGGUGUGGUCAGCCAGAUGCACCCUGAUACUGAUUGCCUUCUGCUGCCCUUGGUACCUCUGACAGUUUAACAUGAACUGUAACUCCAAGAGGUAUUCAUUAUUUGGUAUGUUAUAGACUUAAUUCCACACAGCUGCACUUCAAAUAUCCGCAUAUAACUCAUGUUAUUAAGCAUCUGUCAUUUGAGUUGAACAGCAUUUUUUCUGUCUGGAAACAAGAAAGUUGAAUGUGUCAUUCCUAUUGCUAACAUGAGUGUAUCUCUGCAAGAAGGUGGCGUUCCUGCUGUGCUCCUGUGCAGUGAACAUACAUACAUGGAGUCCAGUCUUGUUCUUUCUGUGGAUUGAUCUUCUAAGCUUGUUUGUGUAGAUUCACAGAAAUGGAAAUUCUGAGAAGCCUCAGGUCCUUUGACUUUCUAAUAGUUCUGUGUUGAAGUUUGAUUUCUGAUUUUCAGAAAUCAUUCUGCCCUAAAGAGUAAAAUCCUAAUAAAUGCUUUAGAAAUUACUUAGCAAAAGAAUUACAUUAAUUUUCAGUGACCAUGAGUAUUUUUUGCAGAUUUUUACAUAGGUUUUAUACUUCGUAAGCUUUCAGAAAUUUUAAAAAUGACUGAACACAUUCUUAAGAAAUGGUGAAUCUAAGGAACUGUAAGUAAUAUUUGAAAUAGAACUCAUGCUAAAUGAGAAAAUAGAAAGCUUUGAGAAGUAUUUUGAAAUCUCAAGGUGUAUUCUACUUAAAAAUGAAAAAUCUUUCUUUACUGAUCAUUAUCAAAAUAUGCAAAAUUAGAGACAGUGUUAAAUCAGUUCCAAUGCAUAUGAAUUCUUUACCUACACUUUCAGGAAAAAUUCUGAAGAUAUUUGGUGGCAUGCUGCUUUGUUGGGCUCUAUUACUUCUUUUUGCUGUGAUCCCUGUGUAGGACAGUAGUCACCAAGUAUUCAGUUUUCUAAUAUUUUUUCCAUUUACUGUCGAUUUACUGUUUGUUUCGAUACUCCACUUACCAUAAAAUAUUGUAAAAACAACCUAUGACUUCUUUGUGGAGUUUUCAUCAAAGCUUCUUUCUCGCUUUUUUAACUGUAUUAAUUUACAUUAUUUUCAGAGUUGUCCAAGAAAUAAGGAGGUAUUGGAAUUCUCCAGUAUGGAGGAUGUGGAUAUGUGGUCCUUAUUUAAAUGAAGAACAAAAGCACAGACAUUAUUCAUGCUAAUACAGAUGAAGCAUCGUCAACUCCAAAAGCAGUCAGCAUAUAUCACAGAAGUAAACACUGACACUACACCCAUGAACAUCAGGAUAUCUUUCAGUUUCGUUGCAGCUGGAGUCAGUGACUUCAUACUGAAAAAGAUGUUUCUCAAGCCUGUUAUUGAGGACAGAAAUAUGGAACUAGCCCGAAAAUGCAGUGAAUUAAUAAGUGAUAUACACUAUAAAGAAGAGUUCAAAAAAUCUAAAGGCAAGUGCAUAUUUGUACCUGACACCCCGCAGCUAAAACAUGUGAAAAGCCUUGGUGCUUUUAUUUCUGAGGCGAAAUAUAAAGGAGCUGCUAAGAAAGACCUUUCCAACUCUCUCUAUCAGCAGAUGCCAGCCACAAUUGACAGUGUAUUUGCGAAAGAAUUGAUGCAGCUUCAGAGCAAGGUUCUCUAUAAACAAAAACAUGAUGCUGAGAAAGGAUUUUCAGACUAUGCACGUAUGAGGGAACCUCCAGAUGUUAAACAUGCCAUGGAAGUCAGUAAACACCAGAGUGAUGUAUCCUAUAAGAAGGAUGUGCAAGAUACUCAUAGAUACACUGAAGUGCUGAACAGACCAGACAUAAAGAAGGCAACUGAGAUAACAAAGAUAAUAAGUGAUGCAAAGUACAAAAAAGGAAGGGGAGAACUGAAUAAGGAGUCUGCUGUGCUUGGAAGACCCGAUUUUGAACAUGCUAAAGGAGUUUCAAAGCUUUUAAGCCAAGUAAAAUACAAAGAGAAGUUCAGUAAGGAAAUGAAGAGUCACCAGUACAAUCCUCUUGACAGUGCUUCCUUCAAGCAAGCACAGAUUGCAUCCACCUUGGCAAGUGAUGUGAACUACAAGAAAGAUUUGGAAAGCCUACAUGAUCCAGCAUCUGAUUUACCAAAUCUGCUGCAUUUAAACCAUGCCUUAAAUAUCAGCAAAACACAGAGUGAUGUCAAGUACAAAGAAAAUUAUGAAAAAUCUAAAGGCAGAUCAAUGCUGGAGUUUGUGGAUACACCGAUGUAUCAAGUUUCAAAGGAGGCUCAAAAGAUGCAAAGUGAGAAAACGUACCGCAGAGAUUUUGAAGAAGGGAUCAAGGGAAGACCUUCACUGGAUUUAGACAAGACCCCAGAGUUCUUGCAUAUAAAACAAGUCACUAAUCUUCUGAAAGAGAAAGAGUAUCGAAAAGAUUUGGAAGAAGGGAUGAAAGGGAAAGGAAUGACAGUGUUUGAAGAUACACCAGAUUUGAUUAGAGUGAAAAAUGCAGCUCAGAUACUAAAUGAGAGGCAAUACAAGAAAGACUUGGAAACUGAAAUUAAAGGGAAAGGCAUGGAAGUUGGUCCAGAUACACCUGAGAUAAGACGAGCCAAGAAAGCUUCUGAAAUUGCAAGCAUGAAAGAAUACAAGAAAGACUUGGAGAAUGAAAUUAAAGGAAAGGGAAUGGAAGUAGGUACAGAUACCCUUGAUAUACAACGAGCCAAAAAAGCUUCUGAAAUUGUCAGCCAGAAAAUGUACAAAGAUGAAGCAGAGAAGAUGCUCUGUAACUAUUCUGCUGUCCCAGACACUCCUGAGAUGGAGAGGAUAAGAAGUACUCAGAAAAACAUCAGUUCAGUAUUUUAUAAGAAGGAAGUAGGAGCUGGCACAGCUGUAAAAGAUACUCCAGAGAUUGAAAGAGUAAAGAAAAAUCAACAGAAUAUUAGUUCGAUUAAAUACAAGGAGGAAAUUCGACAUGCAACAGCUAUUUCUGAUCCACCUGAACUAAGGAGAGUUAAGGAAAACCAGAAGAAUAUUAGCAAUGUUCAGUACAAAGAGCAGCUCUGCAAAGCUACACCUGUGAGUGUCACCCCUGAGAUGGAAAGAGUCAAGAGGAAUCAAGAGAAUGUCAGCAUGGUUCACUACAGAGAGCAGCCUGGCAAAGCUACACCUGUGAGUGUCACUCCUGAGAUGGAGAGAGUCAGGAAGAAUCAAGAUAAUAUCAGCUCGGUAAAAUAUCAUGAAGAUUUUGAGAAGACAAAGGGCAGAGGCUUCACCCCAGUGGUAGAUGAUCCUAUAACAGAGCGUGUACGAAAAAACACCCAAAUUGUCAGUGAUGCAGCAUAUAAAGGUGUGCAUCCACAUAUUGUUGAAAUGGAUAGAAGACCUGGAAUAAUUGUUGGAAAAAAUUGUCCAUGAGAGACUGACUUUUGAAAUACAGAGAUUUAGAACCCUCAGAGAGUCCAGAAUGGACCUUGGAAGAUAAUUUGCCAUGAAAAAUAAUAUGAUGGAAUUGAUGGAUCCACCAUUCCUUUAAAUGUGAAGAAUUAAGAAGGUCUGCAUCACCAGACAUGUAGACUAUGAUGUACUAGAGAGACAGUUUGCCAACUGUUCUUCCACUGUCCUGGAUAGUAUUUCUCAAAUUCUCUCUUUAUCUGCUAUUGGAUUUAUGAUGGCCUUAAAACACAAAGACCAGCAUAACUAUUAUUAUUGCUUGUUCAUACAAAUCAAGAACUUUGGACUGAAAUAUGAGCUAGUCCCUGUCUAAAAGGAAAUCUCAAAUAAAACACAGGAUUCCAGUGUUACAUGAGCACCCUAGACAUGUUUUUGUAGUUCCUUUCAAAAUGUCUUAGUUUUCUCUGUCAUAUGCUCAGCAGCUAUGAGAGCUUUUGUUGCAAUUUCAUUCUAAAUCAGAUUUUAAAUUCAUGUGUUGAAAUUGCUCUCAGGAGUUAUAAUUGCAUGAUUCUGCAUUUCCCAUAAUAAUCUACUUCAAUUUGCAUGGUGGAUACAAUAUAGUUAGCCUUAAUUAUUGCUAACUGAUAAAAUGGAGUUCUGAAAUAACUAUUCUUUAAACAAUUUUUUGUCUAAUCAUGACACUUAAGAAAUUUAGUUUAAAAUACAUUAUUUUAUAAACUGUAGUAUGUCAGUAAGUAGUCAUGAGAGUGGAGAUGUCUUGAUUUUUUUCAUGAUGAAUAAUUAAUGAUACUUUAAACACAAUAUCAGUACUUUUGUUGGCCUCCUCUCCAUUGUUUUUUAAAGCAUUUCAAGAUUGCACAGUUUAUGUCUUAUAUCUUUAGAAAUUAGGUUAUGGAAACUUCCUAAGCUGUAACAUUCUGAAUUUGCUACUGAAUCCAAAUAGUUCAGAGCUUCAAUUCUAAUGAGGUCAGUGAGCAUGGCAGAUACUUAUUAACAUCCUCUGUGAAUUAGGCCAUACUUUCAGGUUGUUAUUUCACCAUCCUAAUUAUAUCUGGGUUUGAUAUUCCAAUUUACUAACUAUUACUGACUCCUGUAAUGGAUAGCAUGCAGAGAAACUGCUGAUUCUGACAGAACCACUGAGAGUGACCAGCCUGGUUGCUCAGACAUCCAUAAAGGCAGGCUAACUGACUAGUAUAGGACAAGGAAAAGAGGGGAAAAAACUCAGAAGAAAUGAAGAGAAAGUUACUUUUACAAGAAAAAAUGCCAAGAUGCCUUACUAUGGUGUUUUCUACUGUUCUGAAAACAGCAUUUUUCUGUAUCAGAGCUCAUCAUCUUCAGUCAUCAGCCCCUGUUCUCCCUGGGGCAUAUCAACAAAGCCAGACUCAAGGAUAUGGAUACAUGCACCAGACCAGUAUGUCAUCCAUGAGGUCCAUGCAUUCACAGCCUCAUUCAGCAAGUCUGAGAACAUACAGAGCUAUGUAUGACUACAGCGCCCAAGAUGAAGAUGAAGUUUCCUUCAGGGAUGGUGAUUAUAUCAUCAAUGUGCAACCAAUUGAUGAUGGCUGGAUGUAUGGUACUGUUCAGAGAACUGGGAAAACAGGAAUGCUUCCAGCAAAUUAUAUUGAGUUUGUUAACUAAUUUUUGUCUCUAGUCCUUUGAGCUUUAUUAUGAUUUACUUAAAAUCUAAUAUUUUAGAAAAAAACCAGAAGAAUCUUUUAAGAGUUCAUGAUCAUUACUUUAUCACUGCUAUAAUAGUUUGCGUUUUCACUCAGAAUCCAUUUUAGAGUCCUUUAAAAAAAAUAAAUAAUCCACAGGAAGCCCAGAGCUUUGAAAACAGCAUUGCUUAUAAUAAUGCUCUCUCAAAAUGAAAAACAUAUAUGGAAGCCUGGUGUUGCCAGUCCUAUAAAAACUUUGGUCAAUUAACUUUAAAGGGGUAAUGCCUUUUCCUUGCACCUCAAAGACAUUAUAACCAUAAAAUUGAUUCACUUCUUAUGGCACUCUAAAGUCACAGGAGGUUAACACACUGAGUUUGAACACAUCUUCAAAUUAUUAGGGAAAUGUUAAAUGUUUAAGUAGUUAACUUCCUAAUAAAAAUUAAUAUGUUGAGUAGAUAAUGCAGUCAUUUGAAAUGAAGACAAGUAACAUGCCAGUAAAAAAAAACCCCCAUACUGCCCAGCAGCCUUACAGUAAAUGUCUAUUUUGACAGCAAAAAUUUCCUGACUCUUGCAUAUCCACAUUUAUUCUUAGCUUGCCCAUUUUUUCUUAUUUCCAAGUGAUCUAUUAGCUUUGCUUCCAUCCUAAUUCAUCAAUUAGACCCAGGUCUGGAUUCAUGGUUCUUCAGUAUCUUUUCUGCAGAAGAUUCCUUGCAAGGACUAUCUAAAAUAUAAACCUGUCAGCUCUUCUGUUUCCUUGUAAUAAUACUUAACAUUUAAAUAGAAACUUCCAUUAGGGCAACGUACAACCAAUACUCCAUGUUAGCUCCUUCACCUUCACCCGUAGCGCUGUAAAUAAACAUCCCACGCGUGGCCGCGGCGCUGUGCAGUCCCACAGAGCCUCAGUCACAUCCCGUUCUCACCACAGGUAACUCGCUUAAUGGCUGCUUUGCUGAUGAGCUGAUGUCCCUCCCCUGCUGCAGAAACACUUGUGCCUCCAUCCAGCAGUGGAGGAGAGCUCUGGUUCUUGUAGUGCAUUUCAAAUCAAUGGCCUAUUGCUUCAGUUUGCUCCCAAAUUCUUGGUGAUCCAACAGUGGGUUGUACGCUUGCCAAAUGAUUAAUGAUGGAGAAGAAUUAUGUUUUCUUUUAGUGACUUAAUCUUUCUCAUAAAUUACAUUGAAGGGAAAGCUAACUAAGCAAAAUCCAGCAUACUCUAUGCCAUUCUGUUUCAGUUUAGCCAUCUGUUGAAAACAGUAAAAAUAUUCUGCUGACAAACCUUCACAUGUGCUAUUUAGUGUCUUUCAACUUACAGCCAGAACUGAGAGAUCCAGAUCUCAGUUCCUAUGAAGCUAGGAGAGGAUCUAACAGCUGGUGACACAGUGGAUAGUAUGAGUGAUUUUGUCAGUGUGGUCGGUCACAGGCAACUUCUUUUUGCUUUGACUGUAUUCCCUCACAGGGAGAAACUGUGGAAGGAAGGACAAAAGAGGUAAAGAUUCAUGUAAGAAAUUACUUAUGUGGAUGCAGAAAUGUGUAAAGAAGAAAAUGUUUUUCUGAUAAAAUAAUUUGUGGAGCUCAGCCAUGUGCUAAGGAAGUUAACUUUGGAGUAGCGCUCAGAAUAUUGAGUCUGCACUAACUUUCUUCCAUUUCUAAACUUUUUAAGGUAGAAUUAUAUAUUAAACUUUUAGACAAUUUUGUACUUCUCAUCUCACAUAGCAGAAAAUCCUGCAAUAACUAAAAAUUAAAUAAGGAAAGGCUGUAUGGAUUUGUUAUGUCAACUGAAAGUUGUAAUUGCAAAUCCCUGUCCAGGAGUAUCCAGCUUCAAAAGAUGUGUCUUAAAAGUAGAAUUCCAUGACUGUAAAUAGGCAAUUUGUAUAGUUGACUGCUGUGAUUUAAAAUUCUUGCAAGUUUUGCAUAAGGAGCUGCUCUUGCAGCAGACCCUUUUGCAUUACUGGUGACACUCACAGGAAAUCAGCAAGUCAAAUGGCUUUUUUAAAGCCAUGUGGUAUGCUGAGCUAGAAGCUCUGAAACAAGAAGUUUACUUCUGUGUUCGUUUUCAUCCCUGGCCAUCAACAGCAAGGAGAGGAAUUCCAUCUUCUGCUGGCUGUCAAAUUUUUCAGAUGAUGCCUGAAGCACAAUUGGCUGUCACUUGCUGCUGUGCUGCUCCAUUAGCUGUGUAAUGCUAACAACAAUAAAAACAAAAUGUUAGUUUUGUUACCAAAUAUGAAUAAAAAAGAAAUAUAGAGAAUAUCUAUAUGGCAUCAAGUUGCAAUUUUUAGUGACUUAUAAAACAGAGAGUCUCCACCUAUAAAUACAUUCUUCCCAAAUGAGGAGACAGCUUACAGUGUUGAAUACUUUAUAUACAGAGGUAAAUCAGAAAAUGAGCAUUUGGUGACAUUAGAGAACUAUGCUAUGCUUAAUAAUAGAAAUAAAAUUUCCUUUAUGAAUUUUGAAUAUUCAUUAGCCUGGCAGAGCAGCUAAAUCAAUUUGCAAAAAAUAAAAGGUCAAGAAAACAAAACAGUAUGUGAAUUGUAUUUCUCUUGAGAAUGGUAUGUCAGCAGAAUUAUUCAGAUCUGGUUUAAGUUACUUAUUCUUUUAGUCAUGUUUUUUGUCAUAUAUGCUUAGAAAUUCAUAUUUAUAUGGAAUGGUUCCUGCUUUUUGAUAUAAAACAAACUUUAGUGUAAUUUUGCAGCUUUGUUCUAAGCAAUGCAAUCAAAGGCCCAAAAUUACCAGAAUGCAAUUAUAAUUUUUUUUUAAUAAGAACUAAAAUUUGUAAGGCAGGGAGGGUAAGUCAUGAACUAAAUUGUGCCAGCACACAUUUUUCAAAGCAUAUGUUGGAGACUGUUACAUGCAGUGUGAUAUAGGGGUGAAAAGAUGCUACAUGCUGUCUUGUCACCUUUAAAUUGUAUAUUCAUUUUUAGCACAGCAUGAUCCCCUCACUGUUCUUUCUUCCUAUAGUCAACAUUUUUCUGGGGAAUGGAAAGGGCUUUUAAGGACUUGAAUUUCUCAAGCUGUUCCAAAGUUCAGGUUGGAAGUCCACAUGUUCCCAUUUUAGAAAUAAAAAAAAAUUAUGUAAAGAAUGCUGUAAUUCUUGCUAACACAAAUAUAAAUGUAGAAAACAACAUAGAGCAUAUUCAUGCAUACAUAAAAGAACAAAUGGGUGCCUUGCUUUUCAUUACUCUUUCUUGCCUGGCUAUCUUCAUUUUUUAAACAAAGCUACAUACAGGUACUGCAGUUGUAAUUUUUCAUUAUGUAACAUUAGCAUUUAGUCUUGAUGAAACAGGGUUUUCUUGAUUACAUUUGACAUACAAUAAACUACUUCAGCAGACUGGGAUUUGAUGGAGAAUCACCUCCCAUGGAUUAUGUUUUUGAUAAAUGUGUCCCUGCCGAGUGUUUCUUGGGGAUGUGGAAGGUCUCCAAUACCUGGGAAAGGUAAUAAUUCUAGUUUUUUUUGUACAGUGACUGCAUGUCAUCUUGUACGAUGAAAAACGAAAUUACAAAUACAGAGGUCUUUGGCAGAAGGUGGUACAGGGUAUAAAAUGAUAGAUUUUUAUUAAGUUAAUUAAUACUCAAUUUAAAAUAUAGAAUAUGCUUUAGUUAGUAAAUGUUUAAAUAAUAUAAUGAAACAGACAGAAGAUGCUGUUGAAAGGAGUCCUCCGAACUGAUGUGCUGGCAAAUGCAAAGUACUAGUGAGCUGUAGAAGAUUAAACCAUUUUGCAAUGCUUUAGUGAUUUUCUCCAGCUUUAUGCCAUAGGAACCCCAUCUCUCCUUUGGAAAGAAAACCUGAAAGCUCUAUUUCCUAAACUGCCUGCACUACAACAGUAUAUUCAAAGGAAUUUCAUAUGCUUCUUGUGUCUGAUAAAUAGAAUUUGCAUAUUGUACUUAAGUUGUAAUCCAGUUGUUGUUGACAUUUGUUUAAUUAUUAUUAUUUUAGGGGGGAAAAUAAGCUAUACUGUAGCAUUUCAAUUGUGUAUUUAAUAUUACUAUUAGAAAUUGCUAGACCAUUGGAAGACAGCAAUGACUGUAUUGACAUUGAUUAGCAUGAUGUGGAAAAUCUCUCAGCUGUUGGUUUUUGCAAUGUGAUAUAAAAAGCAAAAAUGAACCGCUGUGCAGUUUGGCUUAUGUUUGCUUUAAAGUGUGUAAAGUUUUAGUUAUUUUGCAAAACUGUACUGUAUUUGAGGGUAUACAGUUAUGAAGGUAACAAUUGUUUUUCAAAGGACGGAUAAACUUACUCUUGGAUCAUAUGAUGUAUCAUCUUAAUUUGGCUUUUGUUAUGCAGAAAGUUAACACCAGCUAUUAAAAUAUAUUUUAGUAGAAAUGCUUUAAUUCCUGUUUCUUCCUCUACACUGUGAAUAUUUAAGCUUUGGUGGACUAGAGCAACAUCAUGCUGCCCAAAGUACUAACCUAUGCAACCUAGUUCACAUUUUAGUUGAUGUCACAGUGGAUGUAACAUAACAAUUUAUUUUGCAUAACAUUAAACUUCAUUCCAAUAAAAUAUUAAACCCAGCA